rnacentral:rRNA from 1 species
AUUGAACGCUGGCGGCAUGCCUUACACAUGCAAGUCGAACGGCAGCGGGGGAGAAGCUUGCUUUUCCUGCCGGCGAGUGGCGAACGGGUGAGUAAUACAUCGGAACGUGCCCUGUAGUGGGGGAUAACUAGUCGAAAGAUUAGCUAAUACCGCAUACGACCCGAGGGUGAAAGUGGGGGACCGCAAGGCCUCAUGCUAUAGGAGCGGCCGAUGUCUGAUUAGCUAGUUGGUGGGGUAAAGGCCUACCAAGGCGACGAUCAGUAGCUGGUCUGGGAGGACGAUCAGCCAGACUGGGACUGAGACACGGCCCAGACGCCUACGGGAGGCAGCAGUGGGGAAUUUUGGACAAUGGGCGAAAGCCUGAUCCAGCAAUGCCGCGUGUGUGAAGACGGCCUUCGGGUUGUAAAGCACUUUUGUCCGGAAAGAAAUGGCUCUGGUUAAUACCUGGGGUCGAUGACGGUACCGGAAGAAUAAGGACCGGCUAACGACGUGCCAGCCGCCGCGGUAA